CACCAAGAAAUUAAGUUAUACUAUUUUAUGGUUAAAAGACAGUUAAAUGUUUAAAACAUAGUAUGGGUCAGUCUGAUGUUCUAUAUAGAGGUAAAAUUCAAGUAUAGAUGUAUAAUUUGUUAGUGGCUUAUAAAUUGAAUCUGUGAAAUCCUUAUGGGAAACUGGGAUUAGGUACCCCAUUAUUUCUGGAUAUAAAUUGAAUGAAAUUUACCAGAGUACUAUGAAUAUUAAAAAAUUUAAAACUCAAAGAACUUGGCGGUGUUUUAGACCACUUAGGGGAACCUGUCUCGUAAUCGAUAGUCCACGUUGUAUCUGACCUUUCUUUGUUUACAGUUUGUAUACCGUUGUCGUCAGUUAACUUUUUAGAAACUAGAAGUUAGCAACAGAAAUAGAUGAUUUAAUACGUCAAAUCAAGGUGCAGCUAAUGGAAAGGGGAGGAUGGGUUACAAUUAUGUUAUUUAUAAUACGGAAAAUCGUAUGAAAAUAUGUUGAUUUUUAAGGCGGACUUGAAAGUAAAUUAGGUUAUAUGAAUAAUUUGAAUUAGGCUCUGAAACGUGU
rnacentral:rRNA from 1 species